GUGGGGCUGUGGCUCAGUGGUAGAGCACUUGCCUAGCACAUGUGAGGCACUGGGUUUGAUCCUCAGCACCACA
rnacentral:tRNA from 1 species